AUGGCAUCUACUUCGGCUACGAUUGUUCGGGAGACAAUGGAUUUGGUGAAGCCACUGUGCACCAAGGAUGAUGUUUUUCGCGUUCGUUUGGAGAUGCACCGUGCAAAGGAGUCUUACACUAAAGAAGAGACCCUCUUCAAGAGCGAGGCCAGGCAGGACGAGCUUCUUAAUGACCCCAAUCUCACCAAAUCAUACUGCUACAAUGCCAUGAGCAAUGAUGGCCUCUCUGCGACUUCCUAUGCACACUUCUUCCACAAGGAUCCCUCUCCACGCAUCGACUACUUUAAACCUACCACCUUAGAAGGUGAUAUUGAGUACAUAAUUUUUUUGGACAAACUGGUGGAGUUAACAAGAUAUAGAGAAACCAGAGAUAUGGUGUUCGCUAGGGCUAUUGCCCUUGCAAGGAGUGGUUUCAGAAAAAUGCUCCUUUUCCAAAUUAAGAUAGCCGUCGAUCAGUGUUUAGAACUGAUGCUCCGUGGAGAGAAGAUGUGGCAGAGAAAACAGCUGUAUUAUCACAUAGUGCAGGAAACUGUUUUGAAAAACAAGAAGCGUGAAGAUGUUAUCCAGGAGGGACAAGUUCAGCUUUUCUAUGAUCUUAUCAAGUUCGCCCGCCUAGAUGUGGAUGACUAUAAAGAUAUGGUAGAAGAAACGCUUGACCAUCUCGUUGAGGUAUCUCAUGACAAGUUGCCUUCGAAGGAAAGCGUUAAGAAUGGUGCUUACAAAAAGAUGAUCUGUGAGGAGCUCAAUAAGCUGUUCCCAAGACGUACUCGGCUUUAUAUGCAUUUUCUCAAGAUGAAGAUAGAGGCCGCCUUGUAUCUGGCUCGGACGACGUCCCUUGAGUGCUAG
rnacentral:rRNA from 1 species